GUACCGUGAGCGGGCCGUGGUGCUCGGGAAGUCCGGUGUGAAACCGGCGCGGCCCUCGCCACUGUGAACGGGAAGUCCCGGCCCGGGACAGCCACUGGACGCGAGUCCGGGAAGGCGGGCCGCGGAUGUUGAUCCGAAGCCAGGAGACCGGCCACGGCACGUUGGACCAU
rnacentral:ncRNA from 2 species